GACGAACGCUGGCGGCAUGCCUAACACAUGCAAGUCGAACGAAACCUUCGGGUCUAGUGGCGACCGGGCUCGUAGCGCGUGGGAACCUUCCCUUAGGCUCGGUGUCACUCGCCGAAGUAAGUCCUAGUAACGGUUCCUCACUUCGGACCAAAGAAUUAUCGCCAUAGGAUGGGCCCGCGUUUGAUUAGCUAGUUGGUAUGGUAACAGCCUACCAAGGCGACGAUCCAUAGCUGGUCUGAGAGAAUGAUCAGCCACACUGGGACUGAGACACGGCCCAGACUCCUACGGGAGGCAGCAGUGGGGAAUAUUGGACAAUGGGCGAAAGCCUGAUGCAGCAAUGCCGCGUGAGUGAUGAAGGCCUUAGGGAUGUAAAGCUCUUUUACCCGGGAUGAUAAUGACAGUACCGGGAGAAUAAGCCCCGGCUAACUACGUG
rnacentral:rRNA from 1 species